AGCCGAGAGGCAGAAGAUCGUCUGGGAGUGGCAGGAGCUACGAGGGUUUCUGGAGGAGCAGGAGCAGCGGCUGCUGUCCCGGCUGGAGGAGCUAGAGAGAGCCGUUGUCCAGAGAAGGGAUGAGGGCAUCUGCAGCCUGUCCCGGGACAUUUCCCUGCUCAGGGAGAGGGGAGGAGAGAAGGGGCAGCAGCUGCUGAGUCAACCUCUGCAGGGUGCUGGGAGCACUGGGGGAAGCAGGGAGGAUGGGAGAUUUUGGAAGCCAGAGCCGGGGUAUGUGGAGCUGGAGAAGAGACUCCACCAUUUCUCUCUGAAAAGUUCCCACCUGCAGGAGGUGCUGCUGGGAUUCAAAGAGACGCUGCGACAGGAGCUGGGGAGUGACACAGGCUGCAGAAUAACAUCCCUGAGUCAUUCAGGAUUCUCCCAGCCUGCGCGGGGAAGGGAAAUGGGUGCAGCAGAGCUGGCUCAGGGGCCGGUGACCUUCGAGGAGGUGGCUGUGUAUUUCACCAGGGAAGA